GACGAACGCUGGCGGCGUGCUUAACACAUGCAAGUCGAACGGGGUGAAGCAAAACACUGUGUAUUUCUUUGUUGGAGACGAAGAUUCCUUUUGGUAAGAUCGAGUAUUUUUGGGAAGAUUGAACCUAUCAGACCAACAGAAAUCGAGUAUUUUUAGGAAAUUUGUAAGAACCUAGACGCGCAGAACCCGGAACGUACUCUGUGUACGUGAGGAUUCGAGCGUCGUAGUGACACUCAAAUUUUCAAAAAGACGAAGAUUGAACCUAUCAGACCAACAGAAAUCGAGUAUUUUUAGGAAAUUUGUAAGAACCUAGACGCGCAGAACCCGGAACGUACUCUGUGUACGUGAGGAUUCGAGCGUCGUAGUGACACUCAAAUUUUCAAAAAGACGAAGAUUGAACCUGGGAAUGUAGAGUGUUUUGCUUUGCCUAGUGGCGGAUGGGUGAGUAACGCGUGAGUAACCUGCCUGUUAGUGGGGGAUAGCGUUUGGAAACGGAUGGUAAUACCGCAUGAGUUACAAAGGUUGCAUGAUUUUUGUAAAAAAGGAGUAAUCUGCUAACAGAUGGACUCGCGUCCGAUUAGCCAGUUGGUGGGGUAAUGGCCUACAAAAGCAACGAUCGGUAGCCGGGCUGAGAGGCUAGACGGCCACAUUGGGACUGAGACACGGCCCAGACUCCUAUGGGAGGCAGCAGUGGGGAAUAUUGCACAAUGGAGGAAACUCUGAUGCAGCAACGCCGCGUGAGGGAAGAAGGUUUUCGAAUUGUAAACCUCUGUCCUUGGUGAGGAAAAAAGUGACGUUAGCCAAGGAGGAAGCUCCGGCUAACUACGUGCCAGCAGCCGCGGUAAUACGUAGGGAGCAGCGUUGUCCGGAUUACUGGGUGUAAGGGUGCGUAGCGGAUCUGUAAAUUCGGGUGUGAAAGGCACAGGCUUAACCUGUGGAGUGCAUUUGAAACUACAGAACUUGAGUGGAGCAGAGGCAGGUGGAAUUCCCGGUGUAGCGGUGGAAUGCGUAGAUAUCGGAAGGAACACCAGUGGCGAAGGCGGCCUGCUGGGCUCUAACAGACGCUCAGGCACGAAAGCGUGGGUAGCAAACAGGAUUAGAUACCCUGGUAGUCCACGCCGUAAACGGUGAUUACUAGGUGUGGGGGGACUGACCCCCUCUGUGCCGCAGUUAACACAAUAAGUAAUCCACCUGGGGAGUACGGCCGCAAGGUUGAAACUCAAAGGAAUUGACGGGGGCCCGCACAAGCAGUGGAGUAUGUGGUUUAAUUCGAAGCAACGCGAAAAACCUUACCAGGUCUUGACAUCCGAUUAACGAAGUAGAAAUACAUUAGGUACCCGCAAGGGAAAGUCGAGACAGGUGGUGCAUGGUUGUCGUCAGCUCGUGUCGUGAGAUGUUGGGUUAAGUCCCGCAACGAGCGCAACCCUUGUUAUUAGUUACUACAAGUGUAAAAGCUUGAGAACUCUAAUGAGACUGCCGUUGAUAAGACGGAGGAAGGUGGGGAUGACGUCAAAUCAUCAUGCCCCUUAUGACCUGGGCUACACACGUACUACAAUGGUCGUCAACAAAGGGACGCAAUGGAGCGAUCCUGAGCUAAUCCCCAAAAAUGGCCUCAGUUCAGAUUGCAGGCUGCAACUCGCCUGUAUAAAGAUGGAAUUGCUAGUAAUCGCGGGUCAGCAUGCCGCGGUGAAUACGUUCCCGGGCCUUGUACACACCGCCCGUCACACCAUGGGAGUUGGUAAUGCCCGAAGUCAGUAGCUAAACCUUUUGGAAAGCGCUGCCGAAGGUAGGAUUGGCGACUGGGGUG
rnacentral:rRNA from 1 species